UUUAAAAUGAAUAUGAUGUUUCGAAGUAAAAAAUUUCAUACUUGUCGUUGGU
rnacentral:antisense_RNA from 1 species